rnacentral:rRNA from 1 species
CAGGCCUAACACAUGCAAGUCGAACGGCAGCACGGACUUCGGUCUGGUGGCGAGUGGCGAACGGGUGAGUAAUGUAUCGGAACGUGCCCAGUAGCGGGGGAUAACUACGCGAAAGCGUAGCUAAUACCGCAUACGCCCUACGGGGGAAAGCAGGGGAUCGUAAGACCUUGCACUAUUGGAGCGGCCGAUAUCGGAUUAGCUAGUUGGUGGGGUAACGGCUCACCAAGGCGACGAUCCGUAGCUGGUUUGAGAGGACGACCAGCCACACUGGGACUGAGACACGGCCCAGACUCCUACGGGAGGCAGCAGUGGGGAAUUUUGGACAAUGGGGGAAACCCUGAUCCAGCCAUCCCGCGUGUGCGAUGAAGGCCUUCGGGUUGUAAAGCACUUUUGGCAGGAAAGAAACGUCAUGGGUUAAUACCCCGUGAAACUGACGGUACCUGCAGAAUAAGCACCGGCUAACUACGUGCCAGCAGCCGCGGUAAUACGUAGGGUGCAAGCGUUAAUCGGAAUUACUGGGCGUAAAGCGUGCGCAGGCGGUUCGGAAAGAAAGAUGUGAAAUCCCAGAGCUUAACUUUGGAACUGCAUUUUUAACUACCGGGCUAGAGUGUGUCAGAGGGAGGUGGAAUUCCGCGUGUAGCAGUGAAAU